GACAGAGGGUGCAAACGUUGCUCGGAAUCACUGGGCGUAAAGGGCGUGUAGGCGGGAAGGAAAGUCAGAUGUGAAAUCCCCAGGCUCAACCUGGGAACUGCAUUUGAAACUCCCUUUCUUGAGUACCGGAGAGGAAAGUGGAAUUCCUGGUGUAGAGGUGAAAUUCGUAGAUAUCAGGAGGAACACCGGUGGCGAAGGCGGCUUACUGGUCCGGUUCUGACGCUGAGGCGCGAAAGCGUGGGGAGCAAACAGG
rnacentral:rRNA from 1 species